rnacentral:tRNA from 1 species
CCUGUAGUAUGUUAAAAAAACUAAGAGGCUCAUGCCCUCAGAUUGGUCUAUAGGAGGCCCUACAGAU